CCAACCAUGCCAAUGCCACGGUCUCUUGGAGGAGAGGCCGGCUCUGACUUGAUUUGCAGAUUCUGAUGAGCAGAGAAAGAAGCAGCAGCGCCAAGACUGAAAAGUGGCUGAUGGGAGUUUGUUCCAGUGGUGCAUGCUGAUUCCAAAUGCUGCUCACCCCAUGUGUCCGAGUGCCGAGUGCUGUAGAUUCUGCUGCUGCCAGCUCACAGAUCCAAGACCGGACCCUCCAAACCCGG